AUUGAACGCUGGCGGCAUGCCUUACACAUGCAAGUCGAACGGGGUGGGGGGCAACCCUCAUUCAGUGGCGAACGGGUGAGUAAUGCAUCGGAACGUAUCCCGUAGUGGGGGACAACGCCGCGAGAGCGGCGCUAAUACCGCAUAUGCUCUACGGAGGAAAGUGGGGGACCUGAAAGGGCCUCACGCCAUGGGAGCGGCCGAUGUCCGAUUAGCUAGUUGGUGGGGUAAUGGCCCACCAAGGCGACGAUCGGUAGCUGGUCUGAGAGGAUGAUCAGCCACACUGGGACUGAGACACGGCCCAGACUCCUACGGGAGGCAGCAGUGGGGAAUUUUGGACAAUGGGGGCAACCCUGAUCCAGCCAUGCCGCGUGCGGGAAGAAGGCCUUCGGGUUGUAAACCGCUUUUAGUCGGGAAGAAAAGGCAUCUCCUAAUACGGGGUGUUCUUGACGGUACCGGCGGAAUAAGCACCGGCUAACUACGUGCCAGCCGCCGCAGUAAAAC
rnacentral:rRNA from 1 species